rnacentral:rRNA from 1 species
GGAUCGCAGUCUGCAACUCGACUGCGUGAAGGUGGAGUCGCUAGUAAUCGCGGAUCAGCAACGCCGCGGUGAAUGCGUUCCCAGGCCUUGUACACACCGCCCGUCAAGUCAUGAAAGUGGGCAGCACCCGAAGACGGUGGCCUAACCCUUGUGGGGGAGCCGUCUAAGGUGAGGCUCGUGAUUGGGACUAAGUCGUAACAAGGUACC